AAUUUCCUUUGUGUUAUACGAUGACAUUUCCCUUAACAUUUAGCGCAGUCGGGGGACGGGAUAUCCCUUUUUUCGCUUUCGAUUUGUGACGAAUAAAUUUUAAAAUGCUUGAAUAUCGUGUCUAAAACUCUUGGGCAUCUGUUUGUUUAUUUCAUAGUUCAAUUAAGAAGUUUUUAAACUAUUUCCUACACAACGAAGGCCCAUUCAAUGGUUUCGCUUCACUAGGGACGUUCGUCUUCGUCCAUAACACGUUGGUUCAAUUCGCUUUGCAGAAAUCAUUUCGCAAAAAUGGCUGAAUCCAACUAUUUCUCGUGUGAUGCUUCAUCGCAAGACCAUGUUUUCAGUUCGUUCGAACGUCACCUGGUACCACGUCGAAAUCCAAUUGAAGAAGAGCGACGAUCUGCAUACGAUGUUGCAGGUUACCUCUGAUUUGUUACACCAACUGGAUCGUCUGAGAUCAUCUUUAUUGACUGCUGAAAAUGAUCAAGGUGAAAACGGAUUUGAUUAAGCGAUCGAGACCAGCCACGGUUCCUCUGGGCGUUCUGGUGCAGAUUGAAGAACAGCAACCCGCAACAAAGAAACCAGUGGAUUCUGGAAAUUUUCCGAAAGACGUGGUCUGUUACCUAAUGAAGAAUGUAACCAGCAUGUUUUCAAAGUUAAUGCGCCUCUGGCAGCCUCCUCCAGCGUCCAUUCUUCCGCUUUAUUACAAUCAAAAGAUGUAAUCACCUCGGCUUUUUCUUUCGGCUCUCCUUAACAAUUGCAUUUCUAAUGUACACGACGAUCGAGUUUGAAAUAAACUUGCACUGAUCAUUUAA